UACGUAGGGACCAAGCGUUGUUCGGAUUUACUGGGCGUAAAGGGCGCGUAGGCGGCGUGGUAAGUCACUUGUGAAAUCUCUGAGCUUAACUCAGAACGGCCAAGUGAUACUGCUGUGCUAGAGUGCAGAAGGGGCAAUCGGAAUUCUUGGUGUAGCGGUGAAAUGCGUAGAUAUCGGGAGGAACACCGGUGGCGAAGGCGGCCUUCUGGACGGAUACUGACGCUGAGACGCGAAAGCGUGGGGAGCAAACAGG
rnacentral:rRNA from 1 species